UGGAAGUAUUACAUUUGAGAUGCUUGAGAUAUCCACAUGAUACUUUUCUUUUAUUCACCCAUUAUGAUUAAUUGCAUUAGUUGAUAUUGUGUGUGUGUGUGUGUGUGUGUGUGUGUGUGUGUGUGUGUGGUGCUGGGAACUGAACAUAAGACAUCAUGCAAACUAGGCAAGGGCUCAUCCAC
rnacentral:sRNA from 1 species